rnacentral:rRNA from 1 species
UUUGACGUUAGCGACAGAAGAAAGCACCGGCUAACUCCGUGCCAGCAGCCGCGGUAAUACGGAGGGUGCGAGCGUUAAUCGGAAUUACUGGGCGUAAAGCGCAUGCAGGUGGUUUGUUAAGUCAGAUGUGAAAGACCCGGGCGUCAACCUCGGAAUAGCAUUUGUAAACUAGGCAGACUAGAGUACUGUAGAGGGGGGUAGGAAUUUCAGGUGUAGCGGUGAAAAUGCGUAGAGAUCUGAAGGAAUACCGGUGGCGAAGGCGGCCCCCUCGGACAGAUACUGACACUCAGAUGCGAAAGCGUGGGGAGCAAACAGGAUUAGAUACCCUGGUAG